CACACACACACACACACACACACACACACACACCCCAAAGCAGGCGCUGGCAGUGCCAGGUGCUCUGUCUCAGGUGCUCUGUCCCAGGUGCUCUGUCCCAGGUGCUCUGUCCCAGGUGCUCUGUCCCAGGUGCUCUGUCUCAGGUGCUCUGUCCCAGGUGCUCUGUCCCAGGUGCUCUGUCUCAGGUGCUCUGUCCCAGGUGCUCUGUCCCAGGUGCUGUGUCUCUAUUUUUCUGCUGGCUCAGUAGCAGGGAAAGAUUAUGAGGAAAUGGAACUUCAUCAGGUUCUUGAGAGGAAGUGGAUUUUAGAUGGCCUGUCAGAAAAGGAGGCAGUUGAGUGGGUAGAGCAGCAUGUAAGGAAAUGAUAGUGGUAUGGUUUGCCCAAGGCUCCCUAGGGAUGAGACCCUUCAUUUUAUUUUAAUUGGCGUCCCUGGAAGGGUUGAGUUUUUCUCCAUCUUGUGGUAAAGAGCCAAAGGCCUGAUGGCCUCAGAACUGCAACGUUUAUUUGCCCAAGGAGGCGGCAACACCUUUUCUCCCUUGAGUCUGUCCUGGCCUCUGUGGGCGAGAUGGGAGCCCACUGUGUCAUUUUGUGUCUGUGUCGCAGGAAGACUGAAGAAGCUGUAGCCCCUUAUCACAGGGACAGGUUGUGUUGGGAAUAAAGAUGAAUCUACACUAUAUUUUCUUAGAAAAAAAAUUUUUGAGAUUAUAAUUACAUAUUUCUCCCCCUUCUUUCCUCUCUCCA
rnacentral:sRNA from 1 species